rnacentral:rRNA from 1 species
UGUAACAAGGUCUCCGUAGGUGAACCUGCGGAGGGAUCAUUACACAAAUAUGAAGGCGGGCUGGAACCUCUCGGGGUUACAGCCUUGCUGAAUUAUUCACCCUUGUCUUUUGCGUACUUCUUGUUUCCUUGGUGGGUUCGCCCACCACUAGGACAAACAUAAACCUUUUGUAAUUGCAAUCAGCGUCAGUAACAAAUUAAUAAUUACAACUUUCAACAACGGAUCUCUUGGUUCUGGCAUCGAUGAAGAACGCAGCGAAAUGCGAUAAGUAGUGUGAAUUGCAGAAUUCAGUGAAUCAUCGAAUCUUUGAACGCACAUUGCGCCCUUUGGUAUUCCAAAGGGCAUGCCUGUUCGAGCGUCAUUUGUACCCUCAAGCUUUGCUUGGUGUUGGGCGUCUUGUCUCUAGCUUUGCUGGAGACUCGCCUUAAAGUAAUUGGCAGCCGGCCUACUGGUUUCGGAGCGCAGCACAAGUCGCACUCUCUAUCAGCAAAGGUCUAGCAUCCAUUAAGCCUUUUUUCAACUUUGACCUCGGAUCAGGUACGCUCCCA